rnacentral:lncRNA from 1 species
CUGGGCUCACUGCAACCUCUGACUCCCGGGUUCAAGUGAUUCUCCUGCCUCAGCCUCCCGAGUAACUGGGACUACAGGCAUGUGCCACCACGCCUGGCUCAUUUUUUUGUAUUUUAGUAGAGAUGGGGUUUCACCAUGUUGGCCAGGAUGGUCUCAAACUCCAGACUUCGUAAUCCACCUGCCUCAGUCUCCCAAAGUGCUGGGAUUACAGGCGUGCACCACUGCGCCCGGCCAUCUCUUUUCUGAACAUUGAAAACACAUACAUAUAGGUAAUAACCAGUGUGCUCUAGGAUGUGGGAAACAGACAUUAAUUUACACUGUUGGGCCGGGUGCAGUGGCUCAUGCCUAUAAUCCCAACACUUUGAGAGGCCAAGGCAGGCAGAUCACUUGAGCCCAGCAGUUCAAGACCAGCCUGGGCAACAUGGCAAAACCCCAUUUCGGCCUGGUGUGGUGGCUCACUCCUGUAAUCCCAGCAUUUUGGGAGGUCGAGGCAGGUGGAUCACUUGAGGUCAGGAGUCCGAGACCAGCCUGAGCAACAUGGUGAAACCCUGCCUCUGCUAAAAAUACAAAAAUUAGCCGGGAAGCUAAGGCAGGAGAAUCGCUUGAACCUGAGAGGCAGAUGUUGCAGUGAGCCAAGAUCGUGCCACUGCACUCCAGCCUGAGCGACAGAGUGAGACUCUGUCUCAAAAAAAAAAAAAAAAAAAAAAUCUCUGCCAAAAAUACAAAAAUUAGCCAAGUGUGGUGGGACGUGCCUGUAGUCACAGCUACUUGAGAGGCUGAGUUAGGUGGGAGGAUCAUUUGAGCCUGGAAGGUUGAGGCUGCAGUGACCUAUGAUUGCACCACUGCACUCCAGCCUGGGUGAUGGAGCAAGACCCUGCCUAAAAAAAACCCCAAAAUUUACUCUGUUUACUCUCAGCUCACUGCAGCUCAGACCUCUCCAGGCUUAGGUGAUCCUCUCACCUCAGCUUCCUGAGUAGCUGAGACCACAGGCGCGCACCACCACACCCGACUAAUUUUUGUAUUUUUUUGUAGAGACAUGGAUCCUGCUAUGUUGCCCAGGCUGUUCUCAAAUUCCUGGGCUAAAGUGAUCUACCCGACUCAGUCUCCCAAAGUGCUGGCAUUACAGGCAUGAGCCACCAUGCCUGGCCUCUUGCUUACGUCUACUUUGGACUUGCUCUCAGAUUCUUUUGUGUGGCGAAGUGUAAAACCUGGACUGGCUCAGCAGCAACAAUUGGAUUUUAGACGAGUAGACACUCCAAAAGAUGUUCACUACAAUAACCAUUAUCUCAGCACUUCAUUUCUAACCUUAACUCUAACCUAGAGAGACAAUUGCACAAAUGUUCAGAACAGCCUGUAUCAGUUACCUAAUGCCAUGGUAAUGCUGCGUAACAAAUGGAUGUGAAAACGUCAGUGACAUGCAACAUUAAGUUUAUUGCUCAUAUAUCUGGGGCACCCUCACUAAUGGGGUGGAAAGGAGGUGAUCAAAACAUCCAGCCAGAACAUCUGCUUCUCUUCCUCCUCCUUCCCUUUCCCUUCUUCCUUUAUCAACUCUAGCAUUUACUGAACAAUUCUUAUGUUCUGGACACUGCUCAAAAAGCUUCACAGGUAAUAAGUAAGUUCAUUUUCACCAGGAGAUAAGUGUCACUAACAUAUCCACUUUGCAAAUGAGAAAACUGAGUCAGAAAGAAGUUAAAUAACUGGCCUGAAAGCCCAUAGCUAGUGAGGGGUAGACUCAAAGAGUCCUUGCUUCUAAACCCUAAGUCCAGAGGGCAACAACCUUUUUAUAUAAAGGACCAGAAAAUAAAUAUUUUAGGCUUCAUGGGCCAUGUGGAUUUGGCCCAUGGGCCAUAGUUUGCUGACCCUUGCCUUAAUCCAACAGCCUAAGAACCUUCAAAGUAAAGCUGACCAGAGCUUUACCUUUCCACGAGAUUUCCAACAAACCCCUAAAUCCAGUAAAUUAGAAGAAGGGUGUAAUUCACCAUGAAUGAAUUAGGCUGAUUGCUGCAUAAUUCAUGAUUAUCAAAAUGAUGUUUUAAUGUCAGUCAUCUUCUUAAGAUAUUUUUUAAGACUUCUAGGCACUGUCCUAUUGCAGGAGAAAAAUGUUUUUAUACCUUUUUUUUUUUUUUUUUGAGACAGUGUCUCCCUCUGUCACCCAGGCUGGAGUGCAGUGGCACAAUCACAGUUCACUGCAGCCUCAACCUCCCAAGCUCAUGCAAUCCUCCCUCCUCAGCCUCCCUAGUAGCUGGGACUACAGGAGUGUGCCACUGUGCCUGGCUAAUUUUUUAUUUAUUUUUUGUAGAGAUGGGGUCUCACUACUUUGCUCAGGCAGGUCUUGUACGCCUGGGCUAAAGUGAUACCCCUGCCUUGGCCUCCCAAAGUGCUGGGAUUAGAGGCAUGAGCCACCACACCUGGCCACAGGAAAAAAUUCUGCUUCAGUGGAAAAUUAGACACUGUCUAGAGCAGGGAUUGGCAAACCACAGCCCAGAAACCAAAUCCAACCACUCCUAUUUGUUUAUAUUUUUUACAGCUGUUUUCAUGCUUCAAUGGAAGUGGAGUAGUUGCCAUGUAGACCAUAUGUCUAGCAAAGCCUAAGAUAUUUACUACCUGGCCCUUUACAGAAAAAGCCUGGCAACCCAUAGGGUAAAGAACACUCUUCUGAGUUAUCUGAUUCUAGCCUUUCCUUUCCUUUGACCUAUUUUACUAUUCUGCAAGUUCUUGAUAAUUGAUAGCAAUGCAAAAUAAUCCUUUUUUUGUAGACAAGAAAAAGCUGUAAUGUCCACCAGAAGUUCAACCUACUUCCCUCCACCACUACGGAAGAGUUCAAUUUGCACAGUCAUUUCAGUGUUUCUGAUCCAUAACUGUGUCUUUUAUUUGAAUGCGCCUUUGAAUGAGUUGUAACAUUGGUUCCGUCAUUCAUGAGGAAGAUAAAAUCUUUAACACACAUUCACUUCACAUAUGUAUGAAAGUCAUGAUUUUUCUUCUUUCUUUAAUUAUUCUUGAACAUUAUUUAUGGUUUCAUAAGAGUUUAGAGAGCUGCUCUCCAAUGGACAUUAAAAAAUAUCUGCAUCAUUCUACUAGAUCUUGUAAUAGUAGCCCUGAGCUAUAAAUUUUGUACCAGAAACUUGAGAAAAAGUUUGCCUGACUUAAUGGCAUUUUGGGAGGCUGAAAAAUCAACUUUUGAGUAUUAAACUGGAAAUCCAAAACCAGAUGUGGUGACUCACACCUGUAAUCCCAGUGUUUUGGGAGGCCAAGGCAGGAGGAUCUCUUGAGGCCAGGAAUUCAAGACCAGCCUGAGCAACAUAGCAAGACCCCAUCUCUACAAAAACAAAUUAAAAAUUAGUCAGUCAUGGUGGUGUACGCCUGUAGUCCUAGCUACUUGGGAGGAUCUCUUGAGCCCAGUAAUUCGAGGCUGCAGUGAGUGAUGAGCGUGCCUCUUCACUCUAGCCUGGGUGACAGGGUCACUCCCUCUCUCUAAAAAAUAAAAUAAACUGGAAAUCCAAGUAACUAGAUAAUGAGGAGAUAAAACAUAAAACACUCUUAGAAGUUAUGAGUAUGUGAUAUGGCUUGAAUGUGUCCCCACAUUUUAUGUAUUUGAAACUUACUCCCCAAAUUUAUAUGUUAAUUCAAAACAGGGCUUUGGGAAGGUAUUUAGGAUCAGAUAAGGUCAUCAGGGUUAAACGUUCAUGAUGGGACUGGUGGCUUUAUAAAAAAAGGAAGAGAGACCUGAGUUUACAUGCACGCUCUUGCCCCCUCACUACAGGAUGCCCUCUGCCAUGUUAUGACACAGCAAGAAGGCCCUCACCAGAUGUCAGUUCUUCAGUCUUGGCCUUCCCAGCCUCCAGAACUAUUAAUGGGUUGGAUGCAAAUGGUAUGUAUUGACCAACAGCCCCAGCUGAGGUCCAGUUGACAGUCAGCAUCAACUACCAGACAUGGGAAUGAGCAACCUUCAGAUGAUUUCAGCCUCCAGUUGUUGAGUCGCCUCAACCUUGAAUAUUCCCAGUAGAGACCCAGGCACUAUGCAGCAAAAUCAAGGCAUCUUUUUCUGCAUCCAUUCUGAAUUCCUGACCCAUAGAAUCUGAUAGCACAUAAACUGGUUUCUAUUUUAUGCCCCUAACUUGGGGCAUGGUUGGGUUUUGUGGUUUGGGGUUGGGGUUGGUUUUUGCUUUGUUUUGUUUCGUUUGAGAUAGGGUAUUGCUCUGUCAACCAGGCUGGAGUGCAGCGGCGUGAUCAUAGCUCACUGCAGCCUCAAACUCCUGGCGCAAGCAAUCCUCCCACCUCAGCCUCCUGAGUAGCUGAGACCACAGGUGCACACCACCAUGCCUGCCCCCAAAAAUGUUCUCAUAUCAUUGCCCUUCCCUGUAUCCCCACCUUUGGCUGUGUAACUUUGCAAUACUCUUAUUAUGAGCAAAACAUAUGGUCUCACCUCUUGACUUUGGAUUUCGUUAUACGACUUGCUUUGGACAAUAAUUUUAAAAACCACAAAACUGACAGUGUGUCAUUUUUGAGCCUAGGUAUAUUAGUCAGAGAAAUAGAACCAGUAGUAUAGUAAAGAUACACGAGACAGAGACAGGGAGAGAGCCAGAGGGAAAGAUAGAUUUAUCAGGAGGUAUUGGCUCACGUGAUUAUGGAGGCUGAGAAGUCAUACAAUCUGCCAUCUCCAAGCUGGAGAUCCAGAAAAGUCAGUGGUGUCAUUCAGUUUGACUCCCAAAGGCCUGAGAACCAGUGUAGCCAAUGAUAUAAAUCCUCGUCUAGGGACCAGAGAAGAUAAGAUGAUAUGUCCCAGCUCAAGCAAUAAAGCAGUAAAAGAGGCAAAAUUCUCCUUCCUCCAUCUUUUGUUCUACUCAGGCCCUCAACAGAUUGGAUGAUAUCCACCCAACUGGGGAUGAUGGCAGCCUGCUUUACUGAGUACAGUGAUUCAAACGCUAAUGAUACAGGAGCUAAAAAGAAAUUAUUUAGGCAGACAGUGAGGGUAAGAGAGUCCUCAGCAGAAUUACCCUUUUAACAAAAAGCAGCCCCCAAAUAAUUUCUUUUCUAACAAAGAGCAGCCUGAAACUUUGAGCUGCAAACAUAGAUAAGCAAGCUGGAAGCUUGCACAGGUGAAUGCCAGCAGCUGUGCCAAUAGAAAAGGGCUACCUGGCAUGUUCAACAUGGAGGCUCCAUCUUCCCUUUUCUUUGUCACCACAUGUGCAGUAGAAAAGCAGGCAACAUGGUGCUGGCCAGGUAGAGAACCCAUCUGCAUAAUAAAACAUUAGGGUGGUGAGGCCAGCUUCUUUGUGCACUAUGCAAACGGCACCCGUAGUCCAAUCCGGGUCUUCACAUGCUAUGCAAAUGGCAUACCUGGUCUGACCAAUCCUUCAUGCCCUAUGUAAAUCAGACAUCACUUCCUCAAGCUCAUCUAUUAAACAUCCUGUACUUUGCCACAAACAGGAAGCCCUGCUUAGGAGCCCCUCUCUCUCUGCAGGAGAGAGAUUUUUCUCUUUCUUUCGCCUAUUAAACCUCUACUCUUAACCUCACUCCUUGUGUGUCCACAUCCUUGAUUUCCUUGGUGUGAAGCAGUGAACCUUGGGUAUUACCCCAGGCGAAUAAUGCCACUUCACUAAUACUCUCAAUCAGGCCAGGCAUAGUGGCCCAUGCCUGUAAU